GAUGUUACCAAGCUAUCCCAGUUUAAGGUCCACUAUAGAACACCAGUAAGGUCCACUAUAGAACACCAGUAAGGUCUACUAUAGAACACCAGUAAGGUCUACUAUAGAACACCAGUAAGGUCUACUAUAGAACACCAGUAAGGUCCACUAUAGAACACCAGUAAGGUCCACUAUAGAACACCAGUAAGGUCCACUAUAGAACACCAGUAAGGUCCACUAUAGAACACCAGUAAGGUCCACUAUAGAACACCAGUAAGGUCCACUAUAGAACACCAGUAAGGUCCACUAUAGAACGCCAGUAAGGUCCACUAUAGAACACCAGUAAGGUCCACUAUAGAACACCAGUAAGGUCCACUAUAGAACACCAGUAAGGUCUACUAUAGAACACCAGUAAGGUCUACUAUAGAACACCAGUAAGGUCCACUAUAGAACGCCAGUAAGGUCCACUAUAGAACACCAGUAAGGUCUACUAUAGAACACCAGUAAGGUCCACUAUAGAACACCAGUAAGGUCUACUAUAGAACACCAGUAAGGUCCACUAUAGAACGCCAGUAAGGUCCACUAUAGAACACCAGUAAGGUCCACUAUAGAACACCAGUAAGGUCCACUAUAGAACACCAGUAAGGUCCACUAUAGAACACCAGUAAGGUCCACUAUAGAACGCCAGUAAG
rnacentral:lncRNA from 1 species